GCAACGAGCGCAACCCUUGUCACUAGUUGCCAUCAUUUGGUUGGGCACUCUAGUGAGACUGCCGGUGACAAACCGGAGGAAGGUGGGGAUGACGUCAAGUCCUCAUGGCCCUUAUGGUAGGGCUUCACACGUCAUACAAUGGUCGGUACAGAGGGUUGCCAAGCCGCGAGGUGGAGCCAAUCCCUUAAAAGCCCGAUCGUAGUCCGGAUCGUAGUCUGCAACUCGACUACGUGAAGUCGGAAUCGCUAGUAAUCGCAGAUCAGCAUGCUGCGGUGAAUACGUUCCCGGGUCUU
rnacentral:rRNA from 1 species